UCAAGUAGUUGGGUCACAGUCACCCACCCGGGAGACUUGGCUCCAGGCUUCGGUCUGGCCCAAACUAGCCCUGAGCAUUGUGGGCAUCUGAGUGAUGAGCCAGCAGGACAGCUGUCCAUCUGCCUCUGGGGAGCACCACCAAGGGUGCAAGUUUUACACUUCAAAAUGCAUAUGCAGUUGACUCUCACAAUCCACAGAUCCUGCAAUCACAAAUUCAACCUGCCGAGGACCCAAAAUGUUUGGGGGAAAAAUGCAUUCAUGCCAAACAGGAUGAAGAAGAUGAUGCCGGAAGUCAGAAACAACAGCACACUGAGUGUUCUCCCUGGGCCGCCCACCCUGUCCUGCUGGCAUCCAAGGGGAGCUGCCUGCCUGGCUGCAGUGUUCCUGCCAACAAACCACCUGUGUUUGGCACGGCCUCCC